GACGAACGCUGGCGGCGUGCCUAAUACAUGCAAGUCGAGCGCAGGAAGCUGACGGAACUCUUCGGAGGGAAGGCAGUGGAAUGAGCGGCGGACGGGUGAGUAACACGUAAGGAACCUGCCUCAAGGAUUGGGAUAACUCCGAGAAAUCGGAGCUAAUACCGGAUAGUUCAUCGGACCGCAUGGUCCGUUGAUGAAAGGCGCUUCGGCGUCACCUUGAGAUGGCCUUGCGGUGCAUUAGCUAGUUGGUGGGGUAACGGCCCACCAAGGCGACGAUGCAUAGCCGACCUGAGAGGGUGAUCGGCCACACUGGGACUGAGACACGGCCCAGACUCCUACGGGAGGCAGCAGUAGGGAAUCUUCCACAAUGGACGAAAGUCUGAUGGAGCAACGCCGCGUGAGUGAUGAAGGUUUUCGGAUCGUAAAACUCUGUUGUAAGGGAGGAACACGUACGAGAGGGAAUGCUCGUACCUUGACGGUACCUUACGAGAAAGCCACGGCUAACUACGUGCCAGCAGCCGCCGUA
rnacentral:rRNA from 1 species